rnacentral:rRNA from 1 species
UAGGAAAUAGCUCCAUCGAUAUUGACCGUACCCUAAACCGACACAGGUGGACUGGUAGAGUAUACCAAGGCGCUUGAGAGAACUAUACUGAAGGAACUCGGCAAAUUGCAUGCGUAACUUCGGGAUAAGCAUGACUUCUAUCGGGGCAACCCUUUAGGAGUGGCACAAAAGAGGGGGUGGCGACUGUUUACUAAAAACACAGGGCUCUGCGAAGUUGCAAAACGACGUAUAGGGUCUGACGCCUGCCCGGUGCCGGAAGGUUAAAAGGAGGGGUUAACGCCCUGAAUUGAAGCCCCGGUAAACGGCGGCCGAAACAAUAACGGUCCUAAGGUAGCGAAAUUCCUUGUCGGGUAAGUUCCGACCUGCACGAAUGGCGUAACGACUUCCCCACUGUCUCCAGUAUAGACUCAGCGAAAUUGAAUUCCCCGUGAAGAUGCGGGGUUCCUGCGGUCAGACGGAAAGACCCCAUGCACCUUUACUAUAGCUUUACGCUGGCAUUUGUGUCGGCAUGUGCAGGAUAGGUGGUAGGCUUUGAAGCAGGGACGCUAGUUUCUGUGGAGCCGCAAGAUGAGAUACCACCCUUAUCGUCAUAGAUGUCUAACCGCGGCAUAACAGUGUCCGGGACAGCGUAUGGUGGGUAGUUUGACUGGGGCGGUCGCCUCCCAAAGAGUAACGGAGGCGCGCGAUGGUGGGCUCAGACCGGUCGGAAAUCGGUCGCUGAGUGCAAUGGCAUAAGCCUGCCUGACUGCGAGAUCGACAGAUCGAGCAGAGACGAAAGUCGGUCAUAGUGAUCCGGUGGUCCCGCGUGGAAGGGCCAUCGCUCAACGAAUAAAAGGUACGCUGGGGAUAACAGGCUGAUGAUGCCCAAGAGUCCAUAUCGACGGCAUCGUUUGGCACCUCGAUGUCGGCUCAUCACAUCCUGGGGCUGGAGCAGGUCCCAAGGGUAUGGCUGUUCGCCAUUUAAAGUGGUACGUGAGCUGGGUUUAGAACGUCGUGAGACAGUACGGUCCCUAUCUGCCGUGGGUGUAGGAAUAUUGAGAAGAGCUGACCCUAGUACGAGAGGACCGGGUUGGACGAAUCUCUGGUGGACCUGUUGUGGCGCCAGCCGCAUUGCAGGGUAGCUAAAUUCGGACGGGAUAACUGCUGAAAGCAUCUAAGCAGGAAGCCUCCUUCAAAACUAGUAUUCCCUUGAGAGCCGUGGAAGACCACCACGUCGAUAGGCCGGGUGUGGAAGCGUAGCAAUAUGUGAAGCUUACCGGUACUAAUAGCUC